AUGGACCUUGGGCGCCUAAACUAUGGGGGCAUCACUCUCAUACCCAAAGUUCCGGGUGCUUCUGACAUCCGCCAGUUUCGGCCUAUCACUGUGAUCAAUGUGAUAUUCCAGAUCUUGGCCAAAGGGUACGCAAAUAGGGUGACCCUUUUAGCUGACGCUGUCACUCACCCCAACCAAUCCGCCUUCAUUCAAGGGCGGUUUAUACUGGAUGGGGUUUUGGUCUUCCACGAGGUCCUUCAUGAAGUCUGUUCCAAACACCAUCAAGUGGUCUUCCUGAAGCUUGACUUCCAUAAAGCCUAUGAUACGGUUCACUGGACCUUCCUUCGGGAAGUCUUGCUCCGCAAGGGUUUCGAUGACUGGUGGGUGACCAGAGUUAUGCAACUCGUAUCCUGCGGUCGGACCACGGUUAACAUUAACAAUGAGAUUGGGCCAUUCUUCCCCACUCUCUGUGGGGUUUGCCAAGGCGACCCGUUCUCCCCGUUUCUGUUUAACAUGGUGGUCGAUGCCCUUGCGGUCAUCCUGGAUAAGGCCAAAUCUGCUGGCCAUAUCCACGGCAUAGUCCCUCACCUGGUAGGAGGGGGAGGGGUCUCCCUCCUACAAUAUGCAGACGACACCAUAAUAAUGGUAGAGGGCUCCGCGACUGACAUCGCCAACCUAAAGUUUCUCCUCCUAUGCUUCCAACAGAUGUCAGGUCUCACUAUCAACUUCGAUAAGAGCGAAGUGGUGAUCCUUGGCUAUCCUCCGGAGGAGGCCCUGGCCAUAGCUGAUCGGCUGAACUAUCGCUUGGGUACUUUUCCCAUGACUUAUUUGGGGAUACCCAUUAGUGACUCGUGA
rnacentral:rRNA from 1 species